AUCAAGUGGGUAGAUAAGGAAUUGCAUGUGGCUUGUGGGAAAUUUAAACUUGGUACCACUGAUAUCAUUAAAGAUCAUAUGAUGUUUUCUCAUCUAGCUCGGUGUGAUAGGAUUGGCUGCAAUACUGUUAAAGUCUAUCCUAGAAAGGGAGAAACACGGUCUCGUUUAAAAAUUGGGAUAUCAAAUGGUACAUGAAUGCAGAAUUUCGUAAGCAGUAUAGAUAUGAGUUUGUGGAAAUCUUGUCAGAUUAUGUCGAAGGUGAGGGUGUAUCUGUUGCGUACUUGGGGAAGUUGAAAGGUUUUGUAAGCCUCUUCUUUCAAAUUAUGAAAGAAGAUAACCGGCCAUUUCAAAUUCCAUCCCUGGAGUUAUUUAGAUUUUCUCACAGGAUUCCAUCUUUCUGA